UGGGGAAUAUUGGACAAUGGGCGCAAGCCUGAUCCAGCCAUGCCGCGUGAGUGAUGAAGGCCCUAGGGUUGUAAAGCUCUUUCACUGGUGAAGAUAAUGACGGUAACCGGAGAAGAAGCCCCGGCUAACUUCGUGCCAGCAGCCGCGGUAAUACGAAGGGGGCUAGCGUUGUUCGGAUUUACUGGGCGUAAAGCGCACGUAGGCGGACUUUUAAGUCAGGGGUGAAAUCCCGGGGCUCAACCCCGGAACUGCCUUUGAUACUGGAAGUCUUGAGUAUGGUAGAGGUGAGGGGAAUUCCGAGUGUAGAGGUGAAAUUCGUAGAUAUUCGGAGGAACACCAGUGGCGAAGGCGGCUCACUGGACCAUUACUGACGCUGGGGUGCGAAAGCGUGGGGAGCAAACAGG
rnacentral:rRNA from 1 species